UGUGUAGGUGGCGCGCUAAGUCGGGUGUGAAAUUUCGGAGCUUAACUCCGAAACUGCAUUCGAUACUGGCGUGCUUGAGGACUGGAGAGGAGACUGGAAUUCAUGGUGUAGCAGUGAAAUGCGUAGAGAUCAUGAGGAAGACCAGUGGCGAAGGCGGGUCUCUGGACAGUUCCUGACACUGAGACACGAAGGCCAGGGGAGCAAACA
rnacentral:rRNA from 1 species